GACGAACGCUGGCGGCGUGCUUAACACAUGCAAGUCGAACGGUAAGGCCCUUCGGGGUACACGAGUGGCGAACGGGUGAGUAACACGUGGGUGAUCUGCCCUGCACUUCGGGAUAAGCCUGGGAAACUGGGUCUAAUACCGGAUAGGACCACUGCCUGCAUGGGUGGUGGUGGAAAGCUUUUGCGGUGUGGGAUGGGCCCGCGGCCUAUCAGCUUGUUGGUGGGGUGAUGGCCUACCAAGGCGACGACGGGUAGCCGGCCUGAGAGGGUGACCGGCCACACUGGGACUGGGAUACGGCCCAGACUCCUCCGGGAGGCAGCAGUGGGGAAUAUUGCACAAUGGGCGCAAGCCUGAUGCAGCGACGCCGCGUGAGGGAUGACGGCCUUCGGGUUGUAAACCUCUUUCAGCACCGACGAAGCGCAAGUGACGGUAGGUGCAGAAGAAGGACCGGCCAACUACGUGCCAGCAGCCGCCGUAA
rnacentral:rRNA from 1 species